CCGAGUUUACAACUCCCAAACCCUGUGAACAUACCACUUGUUGCCUCGGCGGAUCAGCCCGCUCCGUAAAACGGACUGCCCGCCAGAGGACCCCUAAACUCUGUUUCUAUAUGUAACUUCUGAGUAAAACCAUAAAUAAAUCA
rnacentral:misc_RNA from 1 species